rnacentral:rRNA from 1 species
AUUGAACGCUGGCGGCAUGCCUUACACAUGCAAGUCGAACGGUAACAGGUCUUCGGGUGCUGACGAGUGGCGAACGGGUGAGUAAUACAUCGGAACGUGCCUAGUAGUGGGGGAUAACUACUCGAAAGAGUGGCUAAUACCGCAUGAGAUCUACGGAUGAAAGCAGGGGAUCGCAAGACCUUGUGCUACUAGAGCGGCCGAUGGCAGAUUAGGUAGUUGGUGGGAUAAAAGCUUACCAAGCCGACGAUCUGUAGCUGGUCUGAGAGGACGAUCAGCCACACUGGGACUGAGACACGGCCCAGACUCCUACGGGGGGCAGCAGUGGGGAAUUUUGGACAAUGGGCGCAAGCCUGAUCCAGCAAUGCCGCGUGCAGGAUGAAGGCCUCGGGUUGUAAAGCUCUUUCGGACAGAAAGAAAUCUCUCGGGCUAAUACCCCGGAAGGAUGACGGUACUGUAAGAAGAAGCACCGGCUAACUACGUGCCAGCCGCCGCCGUAAUAC